rnacentral:rRNA from 1 species
CCUACGGGAGGCAGCAGUGAGGAAUCUUGGUCAAUGGACGGAAGUCUGAACCAGCCAUGCCGCGUGCAGGAAGACGGCUCUAUGAAUUGUAAACUGCUUUUGUACAAGGGUAAACCUGAAUACGUGUAUUCAGCUGAAAGUACUGUACGAAUAAGGAUCGGCUAACUCCGUUCCAGCAGCCGCGGUAAUACGGAGGAGCCAAGCGUUAUCCGGAUUUAUUGGGAUUAACGUGUGGGUAGGCGGAGUGAUAGGUUAGCGGUGAAAUGUCCGAGCUUAACUCGGGAACUGCCACUAAUACUGUUGAUCUAGAGAGUAGAUGCGGUGGGCGGAAUGUAGGGUGUAGCGGGGAAAUGCUUAGAGAUCGUACAGAACACCGAUGGCGAAGGCAGCUUACCAAUCUAUAUCUGACGUUGAGGCACGAAAGCGUGGGGAGCAAACAGGAUUAGAUACCCCGGUAGUC